GAGAAUGCAAACACAAGAGUUUAUAGUGGUUCGGCGCAACCCGGCCUACAUCCACUCUCCUCUAGCUUCAAUCCCGAGCUUGAGGUUCCACUAAUCCAAGGCUUCCAAACCAAGCCUUCAAGCAAUACAAUUGGAUUAUGGUUCCAAUUCACCCUCUUGGACUUUUGGCUCCAAGCACCCUUUACACUUCUCAAGAGAUAUCCUACUCUUGAACAACCCCUCAAGUGAUACCCCACACUUGAGA
rnacentral:lncRNA from 1 species